AGAGUUUGAUCAUGGCUCAGAACGAACGCUGGCGGCAGGCCUAACACAUGCAAGUCGAGCGCACCUUCGGGUGAGCGGCGGACGGGUGAGUAACGCGUGGGAAUAUGCCCGACACUACGGAAUAGCCUCGGGAAACUGAGAGUAAUACCGUAUACGCCCUUCGGGGGAAAGAUUUAUCGGUGUCGGAUUAGCCCGCGUUGGAUUAGGUAGUUGGUGGGGUAACGGCCUACCAAGCCUACGAUCCAUAGCUGGUUUGAGAGGAUGAUCAGCCACACUGGGACUGAGACACGGCCCAGACUCCUACGGGAGGCAGCAGUGGGGAAUCUUGGACAAUGGGGGCAACCCUGAUCCAGCCAUGCCGCGUGAGUGACGAAGGCCCUAUGGGUCGUAAAGCUCUUCAGCUGUGAAG
rnacentral:rRNA from 1 species